GAAGGACCCAGAAGCUCGGAACCCACUGCAACGCUGGGGCGCCAUCUCGCGUCCGUUCUUUUGACCGCCAGGUGGCAGCCCGAAAACUACAUUUCCCACCGUGCCUAGCGCGUCCGCGCAGGCGCGAAGAGCCUCUCUCGUUUCCAUGGGAAUCUCGCCCCCAAGGGUCCCAGCUGCUAGACUGCGGACCGCGUGGCCGUUGCUCCCCUUAAGAUAUGGGAUGGUGCAGGACUUGUGGAGGCUACAGGUGCUCCUCUUCCGGAACAUGGGACCCAAAGUGAGCUGUUAACUCAUCUCCCUGGCAGCCCGUGCUCCCAAUCUGGAGUCCUGUUCUUCCUCUCCGUCCUGCCCCUCCGGUUUGCUCCCACUGCAGUGGCCGCAGGAUAAUAUCUUCAAGAUUUGUCUAUGCUUCUAGCAUGUGCCAGAAUUUCAUUCCUUUUGAAGGCCGAAUAACAUUCCACUACAUGGAGAGACCACAUUGUGUUUAGCCAUUCAUCUAUUGAUGGACGUAUGGGUUGUUUCCAUUUUUUGGCGACCGUGAAUGAUGCCGUAAACAUGGGUGUGCAGACAUCUGUUUGGGUCCCUGCUUCAGUUCUUUAGGCCAUGUGCCUAGAAGCAAGCCUGGGGAUCAUAUGUAAAUACAAUCUUAAAAAAAAAAAGAAGAGAUAUGGAUAUAGACAUGUACAGAAGGAAAACAGCGUGAAGACGCAGGGAGAAGCUGGCUGUCUACAAGCCAAGGAGAGACGUCUGGAAUAGAUCCCUUCUUCACACCCCUCGGAAAGAAGCAAGUCUGUCAACACAUUGAUCUCAAACUUCUAGCUUCCAAAACUGUGAGGAAAUAAAUUUCUGUUGUUUAAGCUCCCA
rnacentral:lncRNA from 1 species